GACAGAGGGUGCAAACGUUGUUCGGAAUUACUGGGCGUAAAGCGUGUGUAGGCGGUCCACUAAGUCGGAUGUGAAAGCCCUGGGCUCAACCCAGGAAGUGCACUCGAAACUGGCGGGCUAGAGUAUCGGAGAGGUUGGUGGAAUUCUCGGUGUAGAGGUGAAAUUCGUAGAUAUCGAGAGGAACACCGGUGGCGAAGGCGACUUCCUGGCCUGUUCUUGACGCUGAGGCGCGAAAGCUAGGGGAGCAAACGGG
rnacentral:rRNA from 1 species